CCUACGGGGGGCAGCAGUGGGGAAUAUUGCGCAAUGGGCGAAAGCCUGACGCAGCGACGCCGCGUGAGGGAUGAAGGUCUUCGGAUCGUAAACCUCUGUCAGCAGGGAAGAACGGUCACUGUGCUAAUCAGCAGUGAAUUGACGGUACCUGCAUAGGAAGCACCGGCUAACUCCGUGCCAGCAGCCGCGGUACUACGGAGGGUGCGAGCGUUAAUCGGAAUUACUGGGCGUAAAGCGCUCGUAGGCGGUAUGUCAAGUCACGGGUGAAAUCCCCGCGCUCAACGUGGGAACUGCCUUUGAAACUGGCAAACUGGAGUGUGUGAGAGGAUAGUGGAAUUCCAGGUGUAGGAGUGAAAUGCGUAGAUAUCUGGAGGAACAUCAGUGGCGAAGGCGACUAUCUGGCACAUAACUGACGCUGAGGAGCGAAAGCGUGGGUAGCAAACAGGAUUAGAUACCCUUGUAGUC
rnacentral:rRNA from 1 species